rnacentral:tRNA from 1 species
UGUAGUCUACAUAGUUUGGCAAAUAUCACUUGAACUUCAUAUUGACUUAAUGAGAUUUCUACCAUUCUUUUU